UACAGAGGGUGCAAGCGUUGUUCGGAAUCAUUGGGCGUAAAGGGCGUGUAGGCGGUCUGUUAAGUCAUGUGUGAAAUCCCUCGGCUCAACCGGGGAACUGCGUCUGAUACUGGAAGGCUUGAAUCCGGGAGAGGGAUGUGGAAUUCCAGGUGUAGCGGUGAAAUGCGUAGAUAUCUGGAGGAACACCGGUGGCGAAGGCGGCAUCCUGGACCGGUAUUGACGCUGAGGCGCGAAAGCUAGGGGAGCAAACGGG
rnacentral:rRNA from 1 species